UGGGGAUGACGUCAAGUCCUCAUGGCCUUAUGACCAGGGCUACACACGUACUACAAUGGCAGGUACAAAGGGCAGCCACUUAGCGAUAAGGCGCGAAUCCCGUAAAACCUGUCUCAGUCCGGAUUGGAGUCUGCAACUCGACUCCAUGAAGUUGGAAUCGCUAGUAAUCGCAGAUCAGCACGCUGCGGUGAAUACGUUCCCGGGCCUU
rnacentral:rRNA from 1 species